ACUGGAGGAUCCACACUGCAGACUGGAGAAACUCAAUGUGGAAUAUGGUGGAGAGUACACAAUGAAACCUGGGCUUAGAAAAUAUUCCUGUGAUUUCACGCUGGACCCAAACACAGUAAACAAACUCCUCUCUCUGUCUAAGGAGAACAGGAAGGUGACAUGGAAGAGAGAGGAGCAGCCGUAUCCUGAUCACCGAGAGAGAUUUGAGGACUGGCAGCAGGUGCUGUGUAGAGAGGGUCUGACUGGGCGCUGUUACUGGGAGGUAGAGUGGAGUGGGAGAGAGGCUGUUAUAGGAAUGACAUAUAAAGGAAUCAGCAGGAGAGUAGGGGGUAAGGACUGUAUUAUUGGAUUCAAGUCCUGGAGUCUGGACUGCUCUGACAACAGUUACACAGCCUGGCACAAUUAUAAUCACACUAC